AUUGAACGCUGGCGGCAGGCUUAACACAUGCAAGUCGAGCGGGGUGAUGGUGCUUGCACUAUCACUUAGCGGCGGACGGGUGAGUAAUGCUUAGGAAUCUGCCUAUUAGUGGGGGACAACAUCUCGAAAGGGAUGCUAAUACCGCAUACGUCCUACGGGAGAAAGCAGGGGAUCACUUGUGACCUUGCGCUAAUAGAUGAGCCUAAGUCGGAUUAGCUAGUUGGUGGAGUAAAGGCCUACCAAGGCGACGAUCUGUAGCGGGUCUGAGAGGAUGAUCCGCCACACUGGGACUGAGACACGGCCCAGACUCCUACGGGAGGCAGCAGUGGGGAAUAUUGGACAAUGGGGGGAACCCUGAUCCAGCCAUGCCGCGUGUGUGAAGAAGGCCUUAUGGUUGUAAAGCACUUUAAGCGAGGAGGAGGCUCUUUUGGUUAAUACCCAAGAUGAGUGGACGUUACUCGCAGAAUAAGCACCGGCUAACUCUGUGCCAGCAGCCGCCGCGG
rnacentral:rRNA from 1 species